GACGAACGCUGGCGGCGUGCUUAACACAUGCAAGUCGAACGAGUGGCGAACGGGUGAGUAACACGUGGGUGAUCUGCCCUUCACUUCGGGAUAAGCCUGGGAAACUGGGUCUAAUACCGGAUAGUGGAGGAUGAGCCCGCGGCCUAUCAGCUUGUUGGUGGGGUAAUGGCUACCAAGGCGCGACGGGUAGCCGGCCUGAGAUGGUGGACGGCCACAUUGAGACUGAGGCACGGCCCAGACUCGUAAGGGUGGCAGCAGUGGGGAAUAUUGCACAAUGGGCGGAAGCCUGAUGCAGCGGCGCCGCGUGAGGGAUGACGGCCUUCGGGUUGUAAACCUCUUUCGCUAGGAAAGCGGUACCUGGAUAAAAAGCACCGGCUAACUACGUGCCAGCAGCGCGGUAAUUC
rnacentral:rRNA from 1 species